rnacentral:rRNA from 1 species
UAGGGAAUCUUCCACAAUGGACGCAAGUCUGAUGGAGCAACGCCGCGUGAGUGAAGAAGGGUUUCGGCUCGUAAAGCUCUGUUGUUAAAGAAGAACGUGGGUAAGAGUAACUGUUUACCCGGUGACGGUAUUUAACCAGAAANCCACGGCUAACUACGUGCCAC